AAAGCAUUGAGUAAUGCUUUCCUAUGGGCGGUUUGAAUGCGUGCGCGGUCGCAUUCGGAGCUGAGAGGCUGAAGGAUCCCCAGCGCCAAGGGAGUCCGGCGCUGGAGAAAGGUAAGUGCUGAAGACACACACACUCUCACUUACAGACGCAUACACACUAGCUAACAGACACACACAUUUACUGACAGAGACACACUCAGCAACAGACAUACAUACACUCUCAUUGACAAACACACACUCACUAACAGACAUCAAACAGACUCACUAAGACACACACAGUAACACACUCACUAGCAGACACACACUCUAACUCUCACUCUAACACUCACUCUAACACUCUCACUCUAACACUCUCACUCUAACACUCUCACUCUAACACUCUCACUCUAACACUCUCACUCUAACACUGACACUCUAACACUGACACUCACUCUAACACACACACACACUGACACUCACUCUAACACACACACACACUGACACUCACUCUAACACACACACACUAACACUCACACAAGUUUUUUUUUAAAAUUUAAUCCCCCCAGCCUCCUUACCUUUUGGAGUGCUGGGGGGAUUCCCUGGGGUCCAGUGGCCCUGCUGUCACCCGGCAGGCGGG